GCCGCGCGCCCGUGGAGCAUUCCGCGCGUGCAUGCAUGUUAUGUGUUUUUCUAUUUUAAGAUGAGAAAAAGAAUGGCAAUGGGUUUCUGGUCAAGCUAGCUGCAAUGAUUUAUGUAGAUGAAUUCUUUUUAUAUAAACUGUAAUCGUUUGAUCAUGUUGUAUCAUUAUUAUAUUUAACUACAGAACAUCAACAGUGAAGCGAUAUGACACACCAUUCACAUAUGGAGUGUGUCCUUUAUAUGCAUAUAUGAAUGCUUGCACGGCUUCACAAUGAUCAGCGAAAGAGAGAACCACCUAUUCGCUCAUCUUUUGGAUGAUUGACUCAAUAUCUAUGUCAAUCUUUGAUUUACAGUGGUGACUGUUGCUUCAGUAGAGAGGUUUAACAAUGAAUUUAUAGUGCCACAUGGCGCAUAGUCUUGUGUAAGUUGCGCAUCACCCAUGAACGAAUCUUUGAAAAACUUGCUGAGGUUGUUUACUUGCGUAUGCUCAGGCUAAACAUGUAGAAAACUUAAGCAUUUAUGAAGAGAGUGGCUUCAUUUU
rnacentral:lncRNA from 1 species